GAAAAAAAAAUGUAAAUUUACCCAACACUGAAACCAUGUUUAACACGUAAACAUGCUCAAUGUAAAUUUGAAAAACAAUGUAAAGAGUUGUAUUUCACUUAAACAGCCUUCAUGUAAAAUGAGGUUCAAUGUAAUUCAUGAAUCUCAUGGAAACACAAUUUUUGUUUUGGCACAACUUAAAUUUGAAAGUAUGAAAAACAUGUAAAUUUAUUUCAGAUGUAAUUUUUAUCAAAAUGUAAAAUCUAAAAGCAUUUAUAUUUAAAUUUCGAGUUUCUUUUGCAAAUGACAGUUCAAGCGCGAAAGAAAACAAAGUCGAUUGAACGUUAGGUGCGCUCGAAGUGGAAGUUGUUGUUUAUUUUGUUAAGGUAACUUUAACCAAAUGUGGUCAUCAUCAGAGUGAAGUGGAAGUUGUUGUUGUUAUUUAUUUAAUAAUGGUGAUUCGAUGCGAAAUGUGGAAAUGUUUUCUUAAUAAAUUCUGGAGUUUGCUUAAUAAUUACUUGCUACAAGUAUUCCCGGAGCAUCCCGGGAUUAAAUUGAGACGCCUCUUGAGGAUGGAGAAGCAAUAUUUUGUUUAGUUUCGGCUGAUGUUCAGAAAUCGCAAUUUUAUCUUUUCAUGUGCAGUAUUUACUUGCUGGAAAUGUUAAAGUUAAAAAAGGUAAGUAGUGUUUCUUAUUACUACAUUCAAAUUGUUCAGAUCCUACAAAAUUACAGGUCGUGGCAAGCCAGAAACGACUCACAUUUUACCGUGCAAUUUGCUGCCCAUCGGGAGUGACGGCCUGGAACGUGUCUCCGCCAGAGUGACUCCGCUGGUCCAGGAUGAUCUGCUGGCCGUUCAGGUUGUUUCGUUGGUCAACUUCAACGGCCGCGUAUUUACCGCUGCGUCAGGAUUUUUGAGCACAGUCUGAACGGAAGCGGCUGUUCGCCUACUCGGGCAGCGCCACUGGCUGUGCCCCGGAUCAAAACCAUUCAAACAUGAACACUACACACGUUCGAAUAUUCUCCCAAGGAUGCCCCUUAGUUUUCCGCUUCGUUAGGUGAUGCUGGUAGCAGGCGAACGGAACAAGCGGCCGUGACCACCGACCGGGAAUCGGGCGAGCGUCGGUUUGAGGCUGGUGUCAUAAUGUUGGCCGAUCGCGGCAUCGUAUGUAUCGAUGAGUUUGACGAAUUGGGCGAUAUCGGUCGUGCGGCGAUUCGCGAGGACAUGCAACAGUGCCGGGUGAUCAUUUCAAAGGCGGGAAUUCAUGAGUCGUUGAACGCGCGCUGUUCGGUGCUGGCCGUGGCCAAUCCGGUGUACAAUGUUACGUUGAAGGCCUUACCAAUUGCUCUUUUUCUUUUUUUUUUCAGUACGAUCAGUACAAAACUCCGAUAGAAAACAUUGCCCACAGGACUCGCUGCUGUCGCAUUUCGUCCUGCUGGACGUGAUCGACGCCGACCACCUCCGGAUCAUUUCGGACCAAGUGGUGCAGAUGCAUCACUACCGCAGAACAAAACGACGACGUGCUCCCGAUGGGCGUCAAUGCCAUCGACAAUCUGUCCACGAUCAACCCGGAAGAGCGCGAAAAAGGACAAAAAGGAAAAGUUACUGCACGGAAGCAGCUGCAGAAAAAAAAGCAAAUUUCUGGAUGGAACCAUGCACUUGGAAAACGUAGAAGUUGUUUUUGUUGCAAAAUUGACAACUGACGUCUAGGUGUGAACCCCUGCAACUGAAAUUGCUCGUGUAUCAGCGACGCAGCGGAGUAAUGUGAUGUAAGUUUAAGGUAACGAACAAUUAAAAUAUCUGCAAACAAAAAAUAGCAAACUUUUGCCAACAAUUUUGCCAAAGUUGUGUUUCAUGCACAUUUAAGACCGAUUUUGUGAUUCUUGAGUUUUUUUUAAAGGUCCAUAAAGUAUGUCACGCUCUAGGAGAGAGGGGGGGGGGUCUGAGGAAGUGUGACAUUGCAUGUUAUAAGUAUAGGAAAAGCGUGACAAAGGGGGAAGGGAGGAGGGGAGGGGUUAAUUUUGACUGACGUACUUUAUGGAUGAAGCCUAUAAGCUAUUGUGUUUCAUAUGUUUAUAAGAUUUAAAAAACUACAGUUGUAAACUUUUAGUAUGUCCUGCGCAGGGUCUUGGGCCACGUUGUUUACGGCUUUCCCCGCUUUCACCUUACUGACAAUUUUGGCUCGAGCCUCGAGUCGAUCUGGCUCGAGAUCGAACCCAAAAUUCUCAGUGGGUAUGUUUUACAUAAAAGGUGAAGCAUGAACUGGGAUCGACAUAAGUAUCAAUCCAUUUUUAAUUUGUUUUUAUCGUUGUUGAAAUCUCGGGUUAGUUUUCAAAAGGUCCUUAGCACCACAUGUAAUAUAUGUAAAUUGUCGAUCGAUUCUCGUUUUGUGUCGCGAAUAUGAUUUAAUUUUUUUUACAAUUGGGUCCUAAAAUGAAGCUUAGAUUGCUGAUAUUAUUGUUUACAGCGAUAAACCUUAUUUUUCUGAGUACAAUGACCCUUUGUGCGACCACAAAGAGUUUAAAAUGGAUUUUUAAAUCAAUUUUGAAAAUUUAACCUCGCGGUCCUUCUUGACAGCAAAGCUCCUACUUGACAGCUCGUUCCAAGGGGACCAUAGUUGAUCCAUCGAAAAAAUGUUGUCUUGUCAAAUAAAAAAUUUGCAUUAAAAUGAAAAAAAGUGAUCAGAAAUGGUUUAUAAUUGUGUUUUUUACCAUUGUACAUAAAAAUUUACAUAGGGCUUUAGUACCCAAUUGGAACAAGUUAACAUUGAACAAAACUCACAUUUUCUGGCUGUGCUUCGAAUAACAGACUGUCUAGGGAAACAGACUGGCCAAUGCAAAAUAAACAGGCACUGGCAACGUAUGUUUUGUGCUGGGCGUAAAGGGCGUUUGGUGUCCAGAAACAUUGGCCAAUUUGUUUCCCAAGACAAUCUGUACGUCGAAUUAGGUGCAAAAUUGGCAAUAACUUCAACGCCAGAAACAAAUCACUCCAAACGCUUAAAUUGCUUAUGCUUAUCCACCCUUUUCUUAUGUUGCUCCAUAUAAAUAAUAUUAUAUUUGCAGAUUUUUUGCUUUGCCAAUACAUAUAAAUUAUGCUUGGGCUGAAAAGCAAACUCAGUUACAGGGGUAGUCGACAUUCGCGACAUCCCCGAGCGCGAGCUGCAGAAAAACAACACAAAGCAGAAACUGUCAAAUCUGAAAAGUCUCCGACUCGCUAAACUCGCUGCGUAAAAUGUUUUUUUUUUUUUUUUUUUUUUUCCUUUGGGCUGACAGGCUAAGACCGCGGUUGGAUAGACAAAUCCAGCGAAAGCUCAACGCUGCUUUUUGAUGGUGAGAGAUUUGACAGCUCCCAUACUAAAUUUCUCGAUUUUCAUACUUUUUGUUAAUUUUCUUUUAAAAUAAAACACUUAACAUAUGAAAACUAUAUAUUUUUGGUGCCCAAAAUUCCUGCUGAAUCGAAUGGUGUACUUAUCUCAAUUGCAAAUUUUUCGAACAGUUUUUAUUUUAAUAAUAUUCUAGACACAUUUUGUGCACCUAAUCAAUCAAUACUUUUAUCAUAAAUAAUCAUUUUAUUGCUUAAAAAUUGAAUUUUCCUGAGCUCCCUUAUUCAAAUACAUGGAAGCUGUCAUUUCUAACACCAUUGGCCACCUAGCGGCCAUUUCAAACUGGAUACGUCUAUUGUAAAAUGUUUGGUUAAAAUUGCCGGUUUCUGUGAAUUCCGUUACAAAUCCUGCUUACUAAAUGCCAGCGUCACCCUCGUGGGAUGUGGACAACCGGAGAGCAGGAACACAGCCAAAAAAUGAUGCCACAUCAACCCAUUUUUGCUGGGCCCGAUCGGUUUGGACCUGUGCUGGAGGAGGGCAAGGUUAAUUUGAGGACCACGAACGACGUGGGGGUUCCGUCGUCCUGCGCCUGCUGGAGGUCGAGCAUCCAGCCACAAGGUGCUCUUAACGUUGGUCCAGAUCCAGAACGAGAAGUUCGAUGGACGAACCUCGUCAGUUGUCGUCAUCGUUAUCAAGUUGCUGGUAAUGUAAAAGAUUCCCCUGGCUUAUAUCACCGAUUCGGCUAUCAGCUGGGCUGCAAGGUGGACGAGUUGGAUCGUGAAAUGAACACAAUUCAAAAAUGUGGUUGCGGAGGUUGCUGCGCCGUUGUGACCCUUUCAAUUUAUCUCGUUGAAUUCGUUGGAACAGCAGGUCAUCGCCGAGUAUGCCACUUUACUGAUGAUGAUCUAAAAAUCCUCCGCCGUCACCGCUGCCAAGGACGCUACCGAUUGCAUGGCCAGCUUCUACUGAAGCAAUCGGCCUUGGCUUAAUUCUACAGGUCGCAUUGCACGACAGUCACAAUAGUUUCAAAACGGAGACAUCGGUCGUCGCUGGGGAGAAGUGCACAAUCACACGCCGUGGAGUACCGACGUUGCGCCGCUCUGUCGGUUCCGGGCUAGCUUUGCGCGAGGUCACAUGAUUACAAUCUUUGUCGAGCUGAAUCCUGCUAAGAGAUGCUGUUUGAACAUCAAAACAGCAGCAUGCUGAACACGAGUAAGGUUACUUUUUAUUUCCAUCCUUUUCUGGAUUAUUUGUUUGAUUAGUUUUUCAUUUCUACUUAAGUUUUUAUAUUACUCCGUUGAAUCAAAAAUCUGGGCGAUAAUUAUCAAAAUCUUUGCCUUGGUAUUUUAAAAAGGUUUGCUUUAGUUUGUUUUCUGGUCAAACAAAAGUAAUUUCAUAGCUUAGUUUGAUAAGAAAGUAAUCUAAAUGUGUGCCUUUCUAAACUGCAUCAGGAUACAAAAGUAUUUGAAAAUUACAUCAGAUUCAAGAUUCAACGGAGUAAAAAAAUUUCGAUUUGGGUAAAUUUACGUAGAUUUCAUCGGAAAUUUACAUGUUUUCGAAACGCUUUUUGUUCGGCACAAUUACAUCGGAUGGCAUUUAAAUUUAAAAUGAAUUUGAUGUAAAUUCGCAUCAUUUAUGACGUGCACUUUUGGUACAUCAUUAAUGAUGUAAAUUUACCGGAUUUUUUUUUUCU